UCAGAACCUGGGAAGAUCAGAAGCUUCGCAAACAACUCCAUCGCAGCCAUCAAUGGAGUUCGUCAAGAUGAAUACUCAUCACAUCCUCAGUUGAAUCAACAGAAGGACUUGUUGCAAAAAAUUGGCUUUCCCUUUUGUUCAUCAAUAGUUCAACACCAAUCUCUUUCUCUUGCAGUGGCACCUUCGGGUUCUUCGUAUCAUAAUGAUGAUGAUACCUAUGUUUAGACUCAGUUUCACCAAACAGCGUAUACUCUAGCGUAAAUCAAUAGUGUAUCCAUUGUGUGCCAUGAACGAAGAACAAAGUUCACUCCUUCUCAACUCAUGCUCUCGCUUUCCUCCUCCAAAAGGAGUGCGGCUGGCAUAUGGUACGGGUGGGUUCAGAGAAGACGCAUCGAUCCUCCAAUCAACGGUGUUCAGGGUCGGGAUACUGGCGGCAUUGAGAUCCCUGAAGACCCGAUCAGUGAUUGGGCCGAUGAUCACUGCCUCACACAACAAGGUUUCUGAUAACGGCGUUAAGAUUUCUGACCCAAAUGGCGGUAUGCUGUCUCAGGACUGGGAGCCCUUCGCUGAUGCCCUCGCCAAUGCCCCACUCCUGAACAAUUUCUUCAAAGAUGAUCCGGAAUUGGACAAAAUGAUGAAAGAUAGAGUAAGAUGGGGUGAUCCUAUGGCUCAUUUGGUGAAGAAGAAGUAUUCAGAACCGGUUCUACCCGACUUGGGUGACAGUGAGAAGAUGACGGAAUCAGUGUUCAUAGUCCCUCAGGACAUCCCUAGUCAUAGCUGGAUGAAAAGAGGGUUAGAUGCUGCUCCAAAUCGAUAUGGUAUAAAAUCGGGUAGGCAUUGGGAUGGUGUUGACCGAAGCAAUGGCUUUGAGAAGCAAAUGUUCAAAAGAACGAAUGAGAAACAAGCUACAGAAAGAGAGGCUUAUAUUUGGUCGGUGUCUGAUAUGUGAUUAUCAAUUUCUGGAGAUUUGAUACCCAUGGCAAGACCAAGAGGUCUCACUGUGGGCAGGUUUUAUGAUGAUAGGGAUGUUUCAGGCUUUCACAAGGUUCUGAAGUUAGAGACUCUUUUGGUUAUCAAGCAGUGACAUCUAGCAAGAAAAUGAAAAGCUUGGGCAUUUUGAACCCUACAGACAGAAGGAAUUCUGCAGACAAAUGGACUGUCGUGGUGUAGCAGCAUCAUUUGACUCGAAGGGACAAUUAUUUGUCGUGGAGUAGCAGCAUCAUUUGACACGUGAAAAACGAGUUUCAUUAGUAAUCAUGAUUAAGUAGCAAUUUUGGUACAUCUUCUGGUGAGGUAAUAUGUACGGUAAGCUUUGACGAAGUUAUUUUUUAUUUUGCAAGAGGAAGUAGUGGCAAAUUUGCGCUCGAACUCGUGGACUGUCGAGGAAAUUACUAAUCAGAAUUUGACAAUAAAUUAAUCCUUCAAUUUAAAACACAUUACAAAACGAACACUUAGAGGCAUAAUUAUAAAUCUAUAAGAGUAGCAACCCCUCCUUUAGGUGGGUAUGCAUUCCCAAGUUUUCCGGAAAAUUGAAAAUUUGUAGCCACUCAUUUUGGACCUUUCUGCCAUAAAGUAAAGAUUCUUUUUGAAAAAAAAAUCAUCAAAAGUACCCAAAAAGCCAAAAAGGUUUUUUUUCCCCCUAAAAAUUUAUGGUGGAAGACCCUAUGAUUUUGGUUAUUUAAAUACUAAUUAAUAAAAAAAGUGAAAAGCACCCGAAACGCCAAAAAGAAAGGUGGUUUAUUUUUCUUCCCUUUUAUACAUAUGGUGGUAGACACUAUGAUAUUUGUUAUUUAAAAAGAAACAAUAAUUUUGAAGGAAAAUAAAUUAA